AUUGUCUUUGGAACCCAAAAUAAAAGGAAUAACCAUCCCGGCCCAGUGAAUUAUUUAAACGGCCGCAGUACCCCUGACUGUGCAAAGGUAGCAUAAUCAUUUGCCUCUUAAUUAGAGGCUUGUAUGAACGGACACACGAGGCUCUCCCUUUAUUUGUCUUUUUAUGAAAAUUAGUAUAAAAGUGAAGAAACUUUUAUAAAAUUGAAAGACAAGAAGACCCUGUUGAGCUUAACUAUAGGCCUAGACAACCUACUAAGAUACUAGUUUAGUUGGGGCAACUAAAACUCAAUAAAGCACUAUAUAAUUAUUAAUAAUAUUAGACAUUAAGUCCUUUUAAUGACCCAUAAGAUCAAUAAACAUAGCUACCCCAGGGAUAACAGGCUAAUUUCUUUUGAGAGUACAAAUUGACAAAGAAGUUUGGCACCUCGAUGUUGGCUUAGGGUCCCCUAUUAGCGCAGCAGCUAAUUAGGUGAGAUUGUUCACCUCAUAAAACCCUACUGAUCUGAGUUC
rnacentral:rRNA from 1 species